rnacentral:lncRNA from 1 species
CACAGACCAGAGCCCACACCAACCCCUCCCCGCGGAUGGCAGGAGGCAGCCAGCAGGGUGAGGGCUGCUCAAGACCAGCCAGGCCGCGCCUCCCUGGGUCCCUCCGGGUCUGCACCUGCCGGCUCACAGACAGGGUCCCCUAACCUAGAGGCUCCAGCCCGCUUUGAGAGACGCCUCCAGCCUCCGUGCCUGAGGAGCCGGGACCAGGCUACCCAACCUGCCAGGGGAUAAUGGGUCACUGGGCCGCACACGCCACCCUUGCUGAUCAUGGAGACACUCCCCAUCGGCGGGGCCAACACAGACGCCCCCCCAGCCCAGCCACAAAGCGUGGCUGGCUGGGUGGCCAUCCCAUACACAGGGCCGUGCCUGCUGCCACACACAGACCAGACAGACCUGCACCAGCCGAGACGGUCUCCCGCCACCCCCCAGGGCUGGAGCCAGGUCCCAGCCAUGCCAAGAAAUCACAGCUUCAGGAGAACAACCCCACGCCCAAGUGCCUCUGGCCCAGCACGCCUCAUCUCCCUGACGCCUCGGCUUCCACUGAACUCUGGACCCCCGGACGCCCCAGCCGGGUGCCCCUGCUCUGCCACGCGACUGCGCUGCCCCCCGCCCUGCCCCACAGCAUUUGGCUGGCGCUGAGCAGAGGGGGGAGAUGGAGGGGGGAGGGAAGGAGACUCUGGCAGGGGGUGGGGGUGUUACAGUACCUUGGGCCAACUUUAUGGGGGUGUGUAUUGCAUGGUGGGAGAAGAUGGGGUGUGUGUGUGAUUAUUGCCUCCUGGAAAGGAACCACGGUCUCUGCCUGCUCCCCGCCCCCCCCACCUGCCCCCUCCAGGAGGGGGGGGAGCCCCGCCUAGGUCUUGUGGGUGAAGCGGGCCCACACCUGCUGCAGCUGGGACCGCGAGAUGCGGAGCACCGAGGGCACGAGUCUGUGGUUGCCGGCCGCCAGGGGCGCGUGGCGCCGGUGGGGCGCCCGCACCGGGCUGCUCUCGGCCGAGCGGCUGCGCUGAAUGAGGGAGCCGGAGGAGCCCGAGGAGCCGCCGCCGCCGGGGUGCGGGUAAUGCUCGGUCUCCAGCGUGGAGGAGGAGAACACGGAGGACGCCAGUCGUCGCAGGGGGCUGUACCGCGGGAGGGAGUGCCCCGAGAGUCUGUCCUCCUCCGACUGAAAGAGACCAAGAGAGUGGAGGGAAAAGAGGCGUCAGGCACAGACUCGACAGCUCCGUCUCGGG